GAAAAAAUAUUCCAAUUAUUGAUAUUUAUAUGGAAGAGGGUUGAAGUCGUUCGUGUUUGGAAUCAGUCAGAAUUAUCGACGGUGGGAUGUUACGAAUGUCCAUUGCUGACACGAUCAUCAUGAUAGUGGAUGAACAGUGGAGCGAUGGUGCGCUAGGAAGAGAAUUAAUUGGAGAAAUGGUCGUCACGUUCUCACGUUCCACAUUAUCCAUGUUGUACGUUAUUAACGCGAAUUUCGCGUUCGUCAGCGGUUAAAGCUUCGACUAGAACACAAAUAUCGUCGCAAUAGUAUGCAAUAUGAAUCAGCGACAUGCUUGGUUAUAAAAAAGUAUGCUUCUAUCGUACGGGAAAUGGUAGCGAAAGCUAUGUUAUACGUUCUUGAUCUUUUUGUUAGGGGCGAAGCUUUGUAUAUUUUUGUCUCAAGCGUGGAUCUCAUCGGUUCGAAAUCGGCUUUGUCAGCCGAUUAACAUUUCCACUUUGGUAUUCGUUGAGAUCUCGUUAAUGUUUCAAGCCAGCCUCGUUUAUCUUUGGACAAGUGACAAGUGUUUUCGCUCGGGGCAAAUUUACAAUAGGCGCGAGUGCUGGAUCCGACCCGGCAUAAAAGUCUUCAACUACCGGUAUGGCUUGAUGAUCUCGUUGAAAUUUAAAUAGAUCAUCAGACGUUCAUCUUGCGUUUCGUAACGUGAUUGGGCUUUCCUAUCUUCCUACUACACAAUCGUGUUUCUACUUCCAAUCAUUUUAAAUUCUUUGAACAGAGCUUGUUGAAAAUGAAGUUCUAUCCGAUCUAUUCAAAUAAAAGGAGAAUAAAAUAGAGAAACAAGGUGAACAAAAUCGACGAGUCUACUAAGUUUGAUAUAUUGACAUGUUACUCGUACGAUACUGUGAUAUACAUAUAUAUGUAUAUAGAUUGACGUAGAGAUAAUCGAUAGAACAAUUUAUGCAAAUAUAAGAAGCAUAAAAUCGGCAUGGAAAUCGAUGUAACACGGAUAGCGAUACUCCGAUCGUUCUAAGCGCUGUAUCUUAAAUCAUAGUUAUUUUGAAACACGAAACAUUUGUCCAGCUCUAGCUAUUCAUGCUUCUAAUCCUUCUGUUUAUCGCACAUUAAUGAUUCUGUCAGUAAGGCGUAAUGAUGAGGCGACUGUUUAGAUUGACAUCGCCGCUGGCCUUCUCACCUUGACUGGCUGUUGCACGCUUUCGCAAUUUAAGCCGGUCAACGUAUCGUAUCGCGUGUUACAGUGUUACAACGUCCGAUUUCUACUGUUUCGCUGUUUUCAUUGCUCGAUAUCGAUUCGCGAUUAUCAGCGCCGUAUGAAUUCUCCGAUCGAGACAUAUUAUGAUCGCUUCUACCAGCGUACGUGCGAUUUCGAUGGCCUUGAAGUUUCAGUUGUACGACAUGGCUGCGUGGACCGCAUAUAGUUGAAACGGUAUCGAUAUUAUUAGAUCGCUGCUCGACACGUUUCGACAACGAUCGUUGUUACGAAAAUUUGUCAAUGGUUUGCGUCACGUGUCAAAUGUGUUCGCUGUUUCGCAGUUUGUUUCGUUUGGCAGUACUGUGCGUUUGUGGGUUUCUUUUAAGUUGCGUAAUGGCGGGCGUGAAUUAUCGUUCGUCUAACGAGCCAAAUACAAAGAGCCGAUUGUUCCAACGUUUAACCCUCGGCUGGUUGGGUCGUUUCAGACUACGAUGCUCAACGAAAUAAAGGAUACGAACAAGGAUAUAAAAGGAACGCAUUAAUAAUAAAAUUCGCAAGAUAUGUCUGCAGUAUACAUUUACAAUGUAUCAUUCCAUUCUCAUGGAAUCAUUAAAAAGGUUAACAGAAAUAUUCAAACGAGUCUGAUAAAUAAAUCUGAAAAAGGUCUCGGGGCAAACUUCGAUUCUCUUCGUGCGUACGCGAUCUACAAACCAUAAUAUCUUCCGCGAUAGAAAAGGGAGAAAAGGAAAGGAAACAGGAGGAAAUAAAAGGAAAAGAAUUUGAAGAACAGAGCGAGCUUACGACAUUCGUCGGGUUGUCGAACGUGCGGUGGCUACUGGAGAAAACGCUGUUCCGGCGUCUUUGUCCCGAUCGGCACGUCGCUUUAUCGUGGCACGUGAGCCUCGUGCCAAAAUCACCAGGCACUGGCGACAAAUCGGUAUCGUGGAUUUAUUCUCGGCGUCUUUGCCGCGGUGCAGUGUCGAGAAACGAUACAGCAAAGUGGAAGCGAAUUGUCUUCUGCGAGAGCUUUUGACCGAGAGACCAGGCCAGGAAAGCUGCGAUAUGUUUUCACGGAGUGGCUGCAUCUUCGAAGGCGUUCUGUUCCUUCGACGUAACGGGUCUGGACACGAACUCUCGAGAAGGUGUCUGUAUCGGGAAAAGGAACGAUUGGCGCGCUGACUCGUGCUCUUUCUUCUUCCGAACCCUUCGCGUGCGAGCUUUUCUCUUAAGCUCGUUAUCCACAAGCGUAUAUGUACAAGCUACCGCCGAAUAAGGGUUUGCGUUGUUUUUGGCCAGCUUUCAUAAUCACUUCGAAUUAGAGAAUUUUUCUAUUAGAAUUACACGUUUAGAAUUAUUAUUUUUAAUUAGAAUCUAAUACCGCCAUUUUUUUAUAUUACAAAUGAGUGGAAUCUAUGUAGAAACCGAAGGAAUAUCUAUCUACGAAUUACGAUCGUAGAUAGAUCGUUUUAUUUCGCUCCGCGUUAAUUAUAAAUCUUGUUAUACGAUGACUUUAUAUACCAGUCGCUCCAUUCAAGUUUUUCCACCAUUCACUUAUAAUAAUUGUUAUUUCACAAUACUAUCAGUUAAGUUAUAAACGAGGUUAUGGUACGCGAGGUCAUUCUUUCGUAACUCUUAUCAGACAUCCGCCAUUCAAGUGUCAAUUACCGUUAUGGGAACCCAGAAUUAGAAAUCGGAUGAAAAUAACUGUGUUAUAAACAAUAUGAAAUAGCGAGUUGAAACGAAUCUCUAGAUUUUAUCUCUUUACGUUCGUACAAUAUGAAUUUGUAUUAACUUUUUCUGCUAACAAGCGGUAAUGCAUUUUUUGUAUAUGUUAUGUAAUGUGUCGUGCAUUGCUGGAAAGAAAACUAGCUGUCCGACACAGGGGCAAGGACGGUACUUUGUAUUGUUUACCGUCACACGUUGUUGUAUCUAUUGUCUUGUUCGUAUACGUGACGUUUUCGGCCAAUACACGGAUUCUGAAUUACAUUGAGCCUACAUGAAAUAAGCAAUCAGAUAUGCAUUCCUUACGUUAGUCUUCUUUCCAGCAACACACACUACACACUAUGCUAUACUAUUGUUUUACAAUCAACAUGCCUGACGUGUGCUAUGAGCGAGCACGUAGCGAUAUAUUGAUCGUCAAGGCAAAAUCAGAAAGGAAUUUUCCUCAUCUAUAGAUGAACGUAUGUAUGUAUUACGAUAUUGUGGGUCAGUUUUUACAACGAUAGUUCUUAUUUCGUUAUGAACGGGACGACUCGGUAGACACGAGGAAGACAAGGUUCGUUUCGUAUAGACGAGAAGUUUGCGCGUUAUUAGAGUAUCGCGGAGGAUUUUCCGUCGUCGACAAUUAUGCUAUGCAAUUAUACAACACGGAAUGAAAUUAUACGCUAAUGACGUUGCAACAUGCUCAUCGUGAUAAUGGAUAGGAAACUUGUUUCCCUUCUCCGCGUUUUAUUCAAGGCUUCACGAUGCGAAUGCAAGCGUAAUUUUUGUUCAAUCUUGUGUGAUUUUACUUGCAUCAUUUGAAAUGAUGUAAUACGUUUAUUUUUCCAAGUUAACUUCGAUACGAUUACACCUACUUGGUACGAAAUGCUGCUUCGAGCGAAUAAUUUUUAGCUAAACGAUGCUAUUGUCAUCUCGUAUCGUAAUAGCAGGGGAAUAAUUUAACUGAAUCAAAGAAAACAUACGCUUUAUCACUUACCUUCCCAGUUCGUUGAAUAACGUAUAUGCUGAUGUAGAAAAAUAUAAUAUAUUUCUUUAACGUUAUUGUUUAUUCUAAUUCUUUUUCAAAUAUUAUGUUGCAAUAAUUUUGAAUAAGAAUGUCAAUUUGUGCGAUUAAACGACGUUCAACGAUAUUCUAUACUUCUGGUAUCUACAGUGUAUUUACUUUAACUGGCAUUGAGGAAGACACUUGAAAUUAUUUUAAGCGUCGAACACGUAUGGUUUAUUAUUGAAAUAGACUUACGACGUAGAAAUUCGUUUAUAUUUCAAACGCAUUCGGAAUAAUUGAAUUUUUCCGAAAAUUAUUUCUCCUAAAACCUUCUUCUCCUGUAAAAUGUAUAGCUGUAUUUACCAUUGGAUUCGUUAAAAUAUAUUAUGUUAAAAAUA